rnacentral:rRNA from 1 species
GACGAACGCUGGCGGCGUGCUUAACACAUGCAAGUCGAGCGGUAAGGCCCUUUCGGGGGUACACGAGCGGCGAACGGGUGAGUAACACGUGGGUGACCUGCCCUCAGCUCUGGGGAUAAGCCUGGGAAACCGGGUCUAAUACUGGAUAUGACUCCAUGACGCAUGUUGUGGGGUGGAAAGCCUUGUGCGGCUGAGGAUGGGCCCGNGGCCUAUCAGCUUGUUGGUGGGGUGANGGCCUACCAAGGCGACGACGGGUAGCCGGCCUGAGAGGGCGACCGGCCACACUGGGACUGAGACACGGCCCAGACUCCUACGGGAGGCAGCAGUGGGGAAUCUUGCGCAAUGGGCGAAAGCCUGACGCAGCGACGCCGCGUGA